rnacentral:lncRNA from 1 species
GGAGUUUGUCGGCAGCAACAGGCACGGUAUGGGCGGCUUGGCCAUACUCCCCCAACUGGGAGGCAGUGAGGGGCGUGGCACAGCAGGGCACCAACUGUUCUGAUCUCUUGAAGAGCUCCUCAGGCAACCUUCUGUUUCUAGCAAGAUGAUACACCCAAGCCUUGAUGACAAGGCUUGGCUCUCAACCUCCUUGCUCCCCACCUCCUGUGAAAUACACAAAGAAAUUCAGUGAUCAUCGGGGAUGCUCUGGUCCAAACACUACCUGCCAGCCAGACGCAGGAGAUGGAUGGCUCAGCAGUAAUCGUGCUGCUUGAGCUUGGUGUCUAAUGGGGACAGUAGUGACAGGAAGUUCACAGGGACUGGAAGACAUGAGUUCUCUGAGGGAAAGGAAGGUGAAGCCUGGUGCUUAGGACCCUCAGGAGACCAUAGGAUGUGAGAAGGCUCAAGACACCCAGAGGUGGGGUCAGAAACAGGGCAAAGGAGACCAAGCAUGGGAGAGCUGCAGUGGACGUGUACAGACAGGAGAAGCAGGCCCUAAAGAAUCCCUGAGGCGGCAGAGAGGCUGGGCUGUGGAACUUUUUAAUUACUUUGCAUUAGGGGACUGUAGAGACCCAGAAGCCCACCCUUCCCCUCCCCUCAUCAGCUUAGCCCCAACAUAUGGUGGCUACCAAAGUAGUUAAAUCGGCUCUUGGUAGAAAAGGAAAGAGAUUCCUCCCAGGCUCUUCCCAGGGUCCACGGCCACACUCCAGGAGGGCUCAACUCCAGGGCAAGGCAGCUGGGACAGCAGGCAGCUGAAGGAGGACUAUUACUGCACCUUAGGGAAGAGUGCAGUGGCGAGUGGGGAGGACUCUGCUGGGACCCGGGGGUCAUGUGCAUUCCCAUUUAGUUGAGCUCUGCUUAAUCCGGGCCUAGGCUCACAGUAAUGGGGAACGAGGAGAGGCUCCCAUCAGAGACCAAGAAGAUGACAGACUCUCUGUAAAGGCUGUCAGAGGGGUCUGCAUGACCAACCACACCUGCUCCUGUUCCUUUGGGGCUCUUGUGACCUCCCUGUCUUCUUGUGAGAUCUUAUGUUCCUCCAACCCUGAGAGCUACAAACCAAUCUCCGGAAUAAAAAAAUCUGUCCCUCGUGCUGUCA